rnacentral:rRNA from 1 species
GGUGGAGCGAUUUGUCUGGUUAAUUCCGAUAACGAACGAGACUCUAGCCUGCUAAAUAGUUCGCCGAUUGUCUAAUCUGUCGGCGUUAACUUCUUAGAGGGAUUAGUGGUGUUUAGCCACACUAGAUUGAGCGAUAACAGGUCUGUGAUGCCCUUAGAUGUCCGGGGCUGCACGCGUGCUACACUGGAAAAAUCAGCGUGUUUUUCCAUUGCCGAAAGGUAUUGGUAAACCGUUGAAACUCUUUCGUGUCCGGGAUAGGGAAUUGAAAUUAUUUCCCUUAAACGAGGAAUUCCUAGUAAGUGUGAGUCAUUAGCUCACGUUGAAUACGUCCCUGCCCUUUGUAC